CUACGGAGGGUGCAAGCGUUACUCGGAAUCACUGGGCGUAAAGCGCGCGCAGGCGGCUAUUUAAAUUGGAUGUGAAAGCCUACGGCUCAACCGUAGAACUGCAUCCAAACUAUUUAGCUAGAGUGUGGGAGAGGAAGAUGGAAUUAGUUGUGUAGGGGUAAAAUCCGUAGAGAUAGCUAGGAAUACCAAAAGCGAAGGCAAUCUUCUGGAACAGUACUGACGCUGAGGCGCGAAAGCGUGGGGAGCAAACAGGAUUAGAAACCCUAGUAGUCC
rnacentral:rRNA from 1 species